GAAACACCCACACAAAUUGGGAAGAAAAUGCAAAGUCACACAGAAGGGAGGCGGGUGUGAGCUGGCAGUGCCACCCAGUGAGAUGCCCGUUUAGAUGUGAGGUAGCAGUGCCACCCAGUGAGAUGCCCGUUUAGAUGCGAGCUGGCAGUGCCACCCAGUGAGAUGCCCGUUUAGAUGCGAGCUGGCAGUGCCACCCAGUGAGAUGCCCGUUUAGAUGUGAGCUGGCAGUGCCGCCCAGUGAGAUGCCCGUUUAGAUGUGAGCUGGCAGUGCCGCCCAGUGAGAUGCCCGUUUAGAUGUGAGCUGGCAGUGCCGCCCAGUGAGAUGCCCGUUUAGAUGUGAGCUGGCAGUGCCGCCCAGUGAGAUGCCCGUUUAGAUGUGAGGUGACAGUGCCGCCCAGUGAGAUGCCCGCUUCUGUUUUACAGACAAGUUUACGUCACAAAAAAACCAUAAACUGUACUUCUCUCGACCUCCUGCUUCCUUU